AGACACGACUAGUGUCACUGACUGUUCAUUGUGACAUCUGUUACGGGAGCUUAAUUGUUCAGAAGUUUCAUUCAGUACUUUCCAAAAGCAAGGAUUUGUAAGGUAAUUCCAAGGAGCAUCGCAGAAACACAAAUCACUUCUAAAUGCCUGCUCCAUGCUACAGGAACUGGAAAACACCCCUCACUCAGCUGAUCAGUCACACCUCAAAAAAUGCUGAGGAAGCUUUCAAAGCUUACAUUUUUAGGCAAGAACAAUAAACAAGCCCUUCUUCAAUUCAUCAAUUACUGCAAGUUAGAUUCUUACCACAGUUUGAGUUCAGAGAUGGCUGAUGGUGAACAGAAAGAAGGCAGUCUCAGUAAACAGCAGGCAAAGGUGUCAGGAAGGAGGAAGCAGUAGAAGGACUUGGAAAAAGGCCAAGAAGCAUUUCCUCCUCUUCAUUUUCCACCUAAAUGCUUCAGCUGCUGGAAUGAGAGGUCAAACUAGAAGCAUUUGUACCCAGCUGUGGGCAGCUCUCUCCUGCCCACAUGCUGUUCUUCCCUGUCAUCCCAGGAGAUGAACAUUGUGUGGCAUCCUUGGCCAUUAGCAAAACCUUGCCAAGGAGAUUUCCCAUGGAGAAUCGACUGAUUCAGCUGUCACUUUCUCACAGCAUCUGCAGCAAGAGCUCUGGUUGAAAAAGAGAUAUUUUUAGCCUGGAGGUACUUGGCCAACUGGCAUGGGGCUGUCCCCGUUGCCUGAGGAUAUAAAAAGCAAAGCAGAGGUCUAGAGUUCCCAGUACCAUCUGUAUUUUGGAAACUGCAGCUGAUGUCCUCUGCAAGGAAAGGGUAUUCUCUUCUUUGUGAGCCAAGGUCAUGUCAGUCAAAACUGCCCCUUUUGAAAAUGUAUGCACUGUGCUCAGUGAAUGUGUUCUGAGCCUUUCUAAGGGGUAAAAUAUGUAUCAAAUAACAUCCCACAGUACCCCAGGGAAAUGGAAGAGAGUGGAGCUGCCCUGGUAUACAUUCUGUUAGGUGUGCCUGGCAUGCACAGGCAUAGUAUAGAGCCAGUCCUUGGAUUCUUCCUUGCUUUCUGCUGCUUCUUAU